rnacentral:rRNA from 1 species
GAUGAACGCUGGCGGCGUGCUUAACACAUGCAAGUCGAACGGAAAGGCUCCUGCUUGCAGGGGUACUCGAGUGGCGAACGGGUGAGUAACACGUGGGUGAUCUGCCCUGCACUUCGGGAUAAGCCUGGGAAACUGGGUCUAAUACCGGAUAGGACGAUGGUUUGGAUGCCAUUGUGGAAAGUUUUUCGGUGUGGGAUGAGCUCGCGGCCUAUCAGCUUGUUGGUGGGGUAAUGGCCUACCAAGGCGUCGACGGGUAGCCGGCCUGAGAGGGUGUACGGCCACAUUGGGACUGAGGGACGGCCCAGACCCCUACGGGAGGCAGCAGUGGGGAAUAUUGCACAAUGGGCGCAAGCCUGAUGCAGCGACGCCGCGUGGGGGAUGACGGCCUUCGGGUUGUAAACUCCUUUCGCUAGGGACGAAGCGCAAGUGACGGUACCUGGAGAAGAAGCACCGGCUAACUACGUG